CGAAAGUUGAUGCCAUGAAGAAAGCAAUUAUGCUUUUGUUGAAUGGUGAAACCUUACCUCAUCUGCUUAAUACGAUCGUUAGAUUUGUUUUACCUUCUCAGGACCCGAUGUUACAAAAAUUGUUGCUUUUAUAUUUGGAGAUCAUUGACAUUGGAAAAGUAGAUGCAGAUGCUGACGGUGGCACCAUGAAUGAAAUGUAUAUUUGCCAACAUCUUAAAAACAAUCUCAACAAUUCGAAUAUAUAUACUCGUGUUGCUACUUUGAGGUUUAUUUGCCACUUGAACGACAAACAUUUAGGAAUAAUUCGGGAGUUGAGAUCUUCAGUUGUGGGAAAUUUGCAACAUAAGCACCCAUAUGUUCGGAGGAAUGCUAUAUUGGCUGUAAUGACAAUGUAUAAGCUUCCACAGGGUCAGCUGCUUCUGGUGGAUGCACCCGAAACAAUUGAAGAGGUUCUAUCAAAAGAGGAGGAUCCAUCAGCCAAGCGAAGUGCAUUUCUCAUGCUCUCUACUUGUGAUCAGGAUCGAGCAAUUAAUUACCUGUUGAGUCAUGUUGAUAGUGUUUCUGGAUGGGGUGAAUUGCUUCAGAUGGUUGUAUUGGAGUUGAUUCGGAAAGUCUUAGUCAGCCGAAUGGACAAGGGGGAGAAGGAGACCUAUAUCAAUAUUGUUAAAUCAUUGUUGAAUGCUCCUUCAACUGCAACUGCAGUUGCUUACGAAUGUGCAGGGAUACUUGUCUCUUUGUCAUCUAAACCCACUGAUAUUAUAGCUGCUGCUAACACCUACUGUCAGCUUCUUCGUUCUCAAAGUGACAACAAUGUCAAGCUUAUUGCACUCGACCGGCUAAUUGAGCUCAAGUCUUCACACAGAGAUAUCAUGGUUGAUCUGACCAUGGAUCUGCUGAGGGCACUUAACUGUCGUAAUAUUGACAUUCAAAAGAAAACGCUUCACAUUGUGCUCGAGUUGAUAACUGAAAGGAACAUCAAUGGGGUAGUUCUUAUGUUGAAGAACGAAGCUUUUAAGACCCAGGGUCAUGGUGGGGAGUUUAAGAACAAUGGAAAGUAUAGGCAAAUGCUCAUUCAAGCCAUUCGUAUCUGUGCCCUUAAGUUUCCACAAGUGGCAAGUACUGUGGACGAUCUGCUGAUGGACUUCUCAGGGGACAACAAUGUUGCUUCCGCUAUUGAUAUGUUUCAUUCUGUUCGAGAAAUAAUUGAAAUGAAUCACGAAUUGAGCGUCUCUAUUAUAACCAGGUUAUUGGACAAUCUCUAUCGGAUCAGAGCUUCACGAGUUUGUUCUUGUGCUCUUUGGACCAUUGGAGAGUAUUGCCGGUCUCUUGAUGAAGUUGAGAAUGGCAUAGCGACCAUCAAGCACUGUCUCGGAGAGUUGCCAUUUUUACCAGUCUCUGAAGAAGGGGAGGAUGCUGACUCUUCCGAGAAAGUUCAGCAGAAAAUUAACUCAAUUACUGUUUCUUCUGUUCUUGCUGAUGCCUCUGAACCUGCUUUUUACGAUCAGGGGUCAUUGACUUGGAGAAAUUUAAGAUCCUUUCUUCUCACUGGUGAUUUUUUCCUUGGGGCAGUUGUUGCUUCCACCCUGACAAAGCUAGUUCUGAGAUUGGAAGGGGUGCAGUCAUCUAAAGUUGAAGUGAAUAAAGCAUCAACUCAGGCGGUAUUGAUCAUGGUCUCAAUGUUGCAAUUAGGACAAUCUCCAGUUCUGCCGCACCCAAUUGAUAACGAUUCUUAUGAUAGGAUUGUUGUGUGCAUAAGAUUGCUUUGCAGUACUGGUGACAAUGUCAGGAAGAUAUGGUUGCAGUCUUGCCGCCAGAGCUUUGUAAAGAUGCUUUCAGAGAAGCAGUUAAGGGAAUCUGAGGAAUUAAAUGCAAAGGCUCAGAUUUCUCAUGCACAGCCAGAUGACCUUAUUCACUUUGACAGUCUAAAGACCAUGAAGGUAAUGGCUAUUCAUUGUGGAUGACAAGGAAAGAGCUACGGUUUGUCAUUCAGGUUUAUCUUAAUUUGUAAAACUACACUUUUUCUUGCCCUGCUGUUCAUGCAUGUAAAUGGUUUACCUGAUAUAUGCUUUGACAUUAGGAUUUUAUCCACUUAUUAGGUCCUUUUCAGUACAAACUUGAUACUUCACUUGGCUUUGCUUACCUGUUAGUUAUUGUUAAUUUUCUAUAGUUCUCAAUUUUAGUUCUUUUGUGAUUCUUUAUAUUUUUUAGUGAUUAUUAUGUAAAAAUGUGAGGUAUUCAAUAAUCAAGACGGUAAACUUCCAGUUCAUGAGUCUGCUUGACUUGGAAUAUGAGGUGCAAAAUCUCCUGAUUUGGUUCUGUCUGUAGUAAAAGCUUUGAUACUUCAGUACCCUUAGCUUAAUAUACCUGAUAGUUAUUGGUAAUUUUUGACGCUUCUAAAAUUUAGUUCUACCGCUAUUGUCCAGAUUUUCUUGUGAUUAUAUGUAUAAAUGCGAUAGUUAAUCAAAAUUCCCAACCGGAUACUUCCAGGGGAGGAGUCAGCUUGAGUUAGAAGAUAUGACGCCAGACGAUGAAAAACUUGAAAGUGGAGAGUUCAUCAAGGAUGGAGAUGGUGUAAAUAAGCUUAACCGCCGUAUUCAUCAACUCACUGGAUUUAGUGACCCUGUAUAUGCUGAAGCCUUUGUUACUGUUCACCGCCAUGAUAUUGUCCUUGACAUUACAAUUAUCAACCGCACCAAGCAAACCCUCCAGAAUUUUGUCAUGGAGUUGAUUAUCAAGGGUGGCCUUGAAAUUGUUGAGCUUAAACCUGUUGAGGAUCCACAGAAUAACACUUUAGCACCUGAAUCAAACAAGGAAAUAAAGGUUAAACUCAUGGUGGUCUCAACUGACACUGGAGUAAUAUGUGGUAAUGUGGUGUACAAGACUUCAAAUGGGGAGAAAACAAUUGUUCUUAGUGAAAUUUGCUUCGACGUCGGGGACUAUAUGUCUCCUGCAGUUUGUACAGAUGAAGCUUUUAGAACCCUGUGGGCAGAGCUCGAGUGGAAACGCAAGGUAUCUGCUACUAAUUUCUUCUCAAAUCACGACACAAAUAUAUAAAGUCCUAGAUCAAGCAAGCUAAAGCAUGUUCUAACGUUAACGGUGACUGUAGCACCAUAUGACGUUUUUAACUUGAUGCCAUCAGUUUUUCUUGCUUGUACUCUGAAUUAGUUGUUUAAUUCCUUUAAUUCCCGUGACUGAUUACUUAUCUCUCUUGGUCUUGGUGGUGGUGCUGCGUUGACACUGUUAGUUUAAUUUUCAUUUGUCUUCGGCGCUGCAGGUUGAUGUUGACACGGAAAUUCAAGAUGAAAAGGAAUUUCUGGAUCACAUAAUCAAAUUAACCAACAUGAAGUGCCUGACUGCACCGUAAGUUGGAUCUAUUUUAAAACAAAUCUCUUGAAUGAUAACUGAAAUGGGUGCUUGUUCUUUGUGCAACGUGGAUUUAGAAACAAUGGGAGUAUAUGUGCAGUUAAAUUAACAGUCGAUCGAGUCAAUAGUUUAACAACAUCCUAUUACCUUACUUUACCUUAUUGUUCACAUUUCUAUGUUGUAGUCUUUGGAGAACAAUAUGUAUGAUUCAUAAAUCUGCAAGUGUAUUUUGCACUUGCAAAACUUUUUUAAUACAUUGUCGCAACAUAGUAACAGGUGGACCUGUCUUCCAAGUUCUCAGGAGACAUCCAGGUUUUAAUGCAUGCGAAUGGUUCUCUCACAAUAAUUAUUCUGAUUCUUUUGACUGGUUGUUUUGGCUUGGUUUGAACUGCAGACUAGAUGGUAACUGUGGAUUUCUGACCGCAAACUUAUACGCCAAGAGUGUGUUCGGUGAGGAUGCAUUAGUAAAUGUAAGCGUUGAGAAAAAGAACAAAGGCAGACUCGGUGGCAGCAUCAAAAUAAAGAGCAAGAGCCAAGGCAUAGCACUUGGUCUCAGCAAUAAGAUCUCUCUCAAGCAGAAGGGAAAGGGAGGCAAUUGAGGUGGAACAAUAUCAAUACCCAGAAAAACUGGUGCACUUUUUUUUUUUUGGGGGGGCAAGUUUUGUUAAUUUGUAUUCUAAUUACUGAUUCAUUGAACUUGAACCGAUGCAGGUGCUUUGCCGACAAAUAAGAAGAUUGCCCAUCCGACCUUUCUUGUUCAGUUUGUAUCUACGGCAUUUAGGAAGUGACAUCUGUAAAUAAUUGAAUCAUAUAGAUUGUACAGUGAAAGGCAACCGAAUGAUGAUGAUUGAAAUUGCUUAACACUAGAACAAGAUUUUUCUGUGAUUUCUACAUCAUUUUGCUUCACGAAAAGCAUUUAUAUCAUGUGCGCGUGUGUGUAUGUGUGCGUGUCUGUUGAAAUUGUUCAAUAGGGGGAUGAAAUUUAAAACUGUUAGCAAUGCACAUGCACCCGUUUCAGUUAUCAACGAAGAGGAGCAACUUACGGUGUGGUGAGGCAAUUCAUGUUUUGAUUUGAUAAGGAUCAAGGAGAGCCUUUGCCAUUUUGAAUUUCUGUGAUCCAUAUAACUCUCCAAAUACGGAAACAAUGUUUAAUUUCUGAAUCUGAAUUGCGUGGUCUGUCUCUGUCAUCAGAGGCAAAAAAACACACAUCUAAAAAGAACAAAAUUACCUUCUUCGUGGCAUCAAUCAUUGGCUAGUUCAACUUCAAGGGCUUCCUUAAUUACAUUUGCGUCCCUUUGUCAGAUCCCCUUUCUGUCAUAAAAUUACUAAGGGCUAAUAAUAAAAACAUAUCGGCUUGUGCAAACUUGUUCACCUUCGUGAAUAUCAAAUAGCUCAUGAAGACAAAAAGUAUGGAAGAGAAUCCCUUUCGCUUGAAAAAAAAAAUGAUGCCUCAGCAAGAUCAGAUCUUCAAUCAAAAUUGGGCAAUUUUUGAUAAAAAGAAAAAUCAACUUGCGACGCCACGAAUUCACAGUCCAUAACCGAGAAUUUCGAUCACGGUAUCAUUUCAGCAUUCGAUUAUUGACUUCCUUUUCCCUUUCAUGGCAAAUCUUCUAUCGCUACAUCAGGCCCGUAUUAACUGGGCUUUCAAGUCCAUCUACCGUUUAUCGGGGCGAACCCGAUCAAUCCCCUUCUUAUCGCGAGUCGGACUUUGUCGCUAACUUCCUCUUAGCAUAACUUUUGAAGACCGAAUAUGGUUUUACUUUUGACGUUUAAGAAAUCAAAAUGGCUCUUUUAAAGUCUUUUAUUAGUAAAAUAUCAUUUCCAUUAGAAUUUUGUCACUGAGAGUAAUUUUUCAGAAAGUUAAGAAUAGAACUUUGUCUAACAUAAUUUUUUAACCCCUUAUCCCUCAUCAAUUCCAAUUAUUUACUUCGAGUGUGAAACACCAUUAGUUUUGGAAAAUAAAAUUCAUAACAAAAUGUAUUGAUAUUACAAUUUUACAACAACUCAAAUAUAUUAGACAGGAUAAAUCAAACAUUUAUUUCAUAUAGGAGAAAAAUCUUUUAUCUCAUCUCCUGAUCAAUGGCCUAAGUGACCACAUCAUUUUUUUCUAACAAUUUUGGUAAUUUAUUUAAAUUUAUCACAACAAUAUCAUCUGUUUAUAUAAAGGCAAUUUAAUUUCAAUGUUUUUUUUUUAAACGGAACAAUUUAAUUUAAUAAAAAAAAAGAAAAGAAAAGAAAAGAGAAGAGAGAAAAGCGAAUGACAAAAAGACCCUUGCGGGUUAACUUUCAAUGCUUCCAUCGCCUGUUCUCUCUCCCACAUAUAAACUGAGAGCAGAUCUAAAGAUCUGCAAAGGUCCUCACUCAGUCGUUUGUAUUUUGAACAAUUAACAACAAAUGAGCAUUUAAGAUCUGACAUCUAAAUCAUCAAUUUCACUCAACGCUCAUCACAAGAGGUUCGUUUCUUUCUCUCUCUAUUUUCUUAGAUCCUGCGGAUUUGUUGAUUCAUUUUCUCGGCAGCCAAACAGAACAUUUGUUAAUAUUCUCGUAUGAUUUUGGUUAUUCAUGGUGUUUCAUUUUUCUUAUCUAAAUCCAGUUAAUGUUACGCUUCUACAUUCUAUAGGCGCUUGAACUGAUUUUUUUUUUUUUUUUUUUUUUUGCUUUGAAGUUGAAAUUGUUAAUCUAGCAUGUAGAUUUUCGAUUCGUGAUGUGAAUUGAGAGAAUUCAGUUAUAGCUUUUGAUAGGACUAUUAGCAACUAUGAGAUCUUGAUGUAGCUAAUCAUUGUCGUAUUUUGUGUGUGUGUUUAAUAUGUUUUUACUUAGCCCGAAUUGUUGAAUUAUCUUUAAAUUUCAAUGUUAGAUCUGAUCUGGUUGAGGCAUAUGCAUUUAAUGCCUGUUUAACUUGUGAACUUAUCCUUUUAAUGCUGAUUAGGGCUGGAUUAAGACUUGUUUCAUUUCUGUUUUUCUCUAGUUAUUUGAAAUCACAAGGGAGGUGGAUAGGAUUUUGUGUGAGGUCUGGUCUAAAAAUUUUCCUUAGUCUCCGCUUUCUAAAGCACAUGCACAUGCACACUGAGAUUGAUAUGGAGAGCAGAUAAUAGAAUUGUUGUAUUAUUGGAAAAUGAACACUAGGACAGUUUAUCAUAUGAUUGGAAAUGUAUCUUGUAUUUUGGCAUCUGUUGCGCUGAUGGUUGACUAAUGUGAUGAAUAUUGAUGAUGGCUAAUUCUUCCGUAAUUUAAUUGUGUUCUAAUUUUGCUUAGCUGAAUUAUUUGAUUUUUCUAGAAUAAUAACGGAACACGUAAUUUGGAAAAUUUGAUCUUUUUGUAUCAAGUUAUUCAUAGGAUUGUUUUUUACAUGAAUUUUAAAUGACAGAAAAGACUAUCUGCAAAAAUGGAGAAGUCUUGUACUCUGCUCAUUCAUUUUGACAAAGGGACGCCAGCAAUUGCAAAUGAAAUUAAGGAAGCUCUUGAAGGCAAUGAUGUGCCUGCAAAAGUUGAUGCCAUGAAGAAGGCAAUCAUGCUUUUGUUGAAUGGUGAAACAUUGCCUCAGCUGUUUAUCACAAUUGUUAGAUAUGUUUUGCCUUCUGAGGACCACACAAUACAGAAAUUGUUGCUUCUAUAUUUGGAGAUCAUCGACAAAACAGAUGCUAAAGGUAGGGUCUUGCCUGAAAUGAUUUUGAUUUGCCAAAAUCUAAGGAACAAUCUUCAGCACCCGAAUGAAUA
rnacentral:lncRNA from 1 species